UAAGUCCGCUCUAGCAAGAAG
rnacentral:misc_RNA from 1 species